rnacentral:rRNA from 1 species
UGGGGAAUAUUGCACAAUGGAGGGAACUCUGAUGCAGCGACGCCGCGUGAGUGAUGAAGGAAUUCGUUUCGUAAAACUCUGUUCUAUGGGAAGAAAAGGACUGUACCAUAGGAGAAAGCUCCGGCUAAAUACGUGCCAGCAGCCGCGGUAAUACGUAUGGAGCGAGCGUUGUCCGGAAUUAUUGGGCGUAAAGGGUGCGCAGGCGGCUUUACAAGUUGGAUGUGAAAUAUUGUGGCUCAACCACAAACGUGCAUCCAAAACUGCAAAGCUUGAGUUAAGGAGGGGUAAGUGGAAUUCCUGGUGUAGCGGUGGAAUGCGUAGAUAUCAGGAGGAAUACCGGUGGCGAAGGCGACUUACUGGACUUAAACUGACGCUCAGGCACGAAAGCGUGGGGAGCAAACAGG